rnacentral:RNase_P_RNA from 1 species
GAAUUCAGGUAAUCGCUGCAACUUACGUUGUAGAGGAAAGUCCAUGCUCGCACGGCUCUGAGAAGACCGUAGUGUUCGUGCUCGGCGAAAAAAUAAGCCGGGGCAACGCAUGAUGCGUUGACGGCGGGGAUAAAUCCUAAGUUCGUUCAACGAAUAUGGAUGAGGUCUCCUGAAAAGUGCCACAGUGACGUAGCUUAUCCGGAAACGGCUAAGGUGGAACGCGGUAAACCCCACGAGCGAGAAACCCAAAUUAUGGUAGGGGCACUCUUCUGAAGGAAAUGAACAGAUGAAGGGACAGACAUCAUUUUAAGAUGAGUCUGUAGAUAGAUGAUUACCGCCCUAAGUACGAGGCGCAAGCCGUUUGAGUACGCGGGAACAAAACAUGGCUUAUCGAA